rnacentral:rRNA from 1 species
GACGAACGCUGGCGGCGUGCUUAACACAUGCAAGUCGAACGGAAAGGCCCUGCUUUUGUGGGGUGCUCGAGUGGCGAACGGGUGAGUAACACGUGAGUAACCUGCCCUUUACUUUGGGAUAACUUCAUGAAACUGGGGCUAAUACCGGAUAGGAGCUCCUGCUGCAUGGUGGGGGUUGGAAAGUUUCGGCGGUUGGGGAUGGACUCGGGGCUUAUCAGCUUGUUGGUGGGGUAGUGGCUUACCAAGGCUUUGACGGGUAGCCGGCCUGAGAGGGUGACCGGCAACAUAGGGAUAGGGAAGGGACCAGGAGGAAGGCGGGGGGAAGAGGGGGAGAAGUGGGCAAAGGGGGCGGAGGCAGGGAAGAGAAACGCCGGGGGGGAAAAGGCGGCCGGGGGUGAGAAACCGGGGUUGGCGUGGAAAGAAGAGGAAGUGAAGGUAAGGGAAAAAAAAGCACCGGCUAACUACGUG